rnacentral:lncRNA from 1 species
CCAGGUACAGCUGCCUUUAAGACAGGCAUCUCAGAAACAAAAUUUAUUCUUAAAUUGACCCCGCUCUAAAGAGGUUUGGACCUUUCUUUCAGAACUGCUUUCAGAGUCUCAAGAAAACUUGAUUACUUUUACUAAAAUGGAAUGAUUCUAUUUUACACUUGAUUUGUUACUGAAUCACUUCCAUUAAAAAUAAUCAAUCCAUCUUUCUUUGAUAAAGAUUUCCUAGCACUGAUAUUCUUAAAAACACCACCCCCCCAACUCUAAUGUAGAUGAAUAUUCUGAAAUGUUUUGUGCAGUGCUGCCAUAGGAAUACAGAUGUAGUCUCUUAAGGUGACCUGUGAUUUUCUUGAGGCCAGAUUAAAAUGAAGUAAAUUUUUCCAUGUCUCCUAUAGUUUGAUUUCUCAUUCAGAAAC